rnacentral:rRNA from 1 species
UAACAAGGUUUCCGUAGGUGAACCUGCGGAAGGAUCAUUAUUGAAUAAACUUGAUGGGUUGUCGCUGGCUCCUAGGAGCAUGUGCACACUUGUCAUCUUUAUCUAUCCACCUGUGCACCUUUUGUAGUCUUGGAUUAAUGAGCGCGUGUUCAGUACUCGCGCGAGUUUCUCUGAGUCUAUGUCUUUCAUAUACCACAUAGUAUGUUUUAGAAUGUUGUUAUUGGGUCUUAGUACCUAUAAAACACAAUACAACUUUCAGCAACGGAUCUCUUGGCUCUCGCAUCGAUGAAGAACGCAGCGAAAUGCGAUAAGUAAUGUGAAUUGCAGAAUUCAGUGAAUCAUCGAAUCUUUGAACGCACCUUGCGCUCCUUGGUAUUCCGAGGAGCAUGCCUGUUUGAGUGUCAUUUAAUUCUCAACCCCUCCAACUUUUGUAGUUGGCUAGGUGGCUUGGAUGUGGGGGAUUAAUCUUGCGGGCCUCUUUAGAGGUCGGCUCCCCUGAAAUGCAUUAGUGGAACUGUUUGCGGAACUGUCACUGGUGUGAUAAUUAUCUAUACCAAGACAACCGCUCUCUGGUAAUUCUGCUUCUAAUUGUCCUUUACUUGGACAACAAUAUCUGAAUGCUUGACCUCAAAUCAGGUAGGACUACCCGCUGAACUUAAGCAUAUCAAUAAGCGGAGGAAAAGAAACUAACAAGGAUUCCCCUAGUAACUGCGAGUGAAGCGGGAAAAGCUCAAAUUUGAAAUCUGGCAGUCUUUGGCUGUCCGAGUUGUAAUCUAGAGAAGCGUCACCCGCGCUGGACCGUGUACAAGUCUCCUGGGAUGGAGCGUCAUAGAGGGUGAGAAUCCCGUCUCUGACACGGACUACCAGGGCUUUGUGGUGUGCUCUCAAAGAGUCGAGUUGUUUGGGAAUGCAGCUCUAAAUGGGUGGUAAAUUCCAUCUAAAGCUAAAUAUUGGCGAGAGACCGAUAGCGAACAAGUACCGUGAGGGAAAGAUGAAAAGAACUUUGGAAAGAGAGUUAAACAGUACGUGAAAUUGCUGAAAG